AGAGUCGUGAAUGUAUGGUAUUGCCAAAUGAAGUUCUUUAGAAUUAUAUAUGUACAUAUAGAAAUCGCCCGACAUUAGUAAAUCUUCGGCCGCAAUUAAGAGUAGAUUAAAGGUGUAAGGUCUUUUAAGUUUAUAGAGACGAAGUCUGCUUAGAAGUCGAAGUUGUCCUAAGAAGAGCAUUAAAAAUACCAGAAGAAAAUGCAAUACUGAUAGACAAAACAUACUAUCGGUUGCGUCACGGCCUCUAAUGUGUAAAAAUAUUCGAUUUCCUAGAACAUUUUUGUACAAAUUAACUUGAGAACUUAAACUGUUGAGAAACUAUCUGAUAUUUUUCUUCAAUAAUCACUGAUGAAUCAUUUUGGUAUGCUGUGUGCUUUGAGGCUUUACAAAGUGUGUUUUUACAUUAUCAUAUUUUAUACUAUUGAAUAUCCAAAUUAUUUAAGUUGCACAAAUUUUCCAAAGAUAUGGCAACCCAAAUAUUUGCUUUAGUUCGUAUAUGAAUGAAUUUCUGUGUCCCAAACGUUUAGGCAGAACAUUUAUAUACAUACAUACGUUUAUCAUAAUAACUUAUAAAAAUAUGAGCAUCGUUUUCCCACUUUUUGGCAUUUAAUACCUACGUUCCCACUUCAUUAUACAUACGUAAAGAAUUUAACCUAAGCCAGAUAAAAGUAAGCCCAUAUGGCCAUACACUUACACACAUACGAGGGUCCACCAAUAAGUACUUAAAAGUAAGAAAAAAGUACAUUUUCAACACGGCAAUGCGCCAACUUAUACUUCCGCCGUUUCAGUCAUUCCAGAUUUUCUACGUCAAGCCUUUUUCUCAAUCGUCAUUAGUCGAGCAAAGAAUUUUAUUGGUGCCAUAGAGGCCUACUUUGAAUACCUCCAGAAAUCGUAGUUAAACAAGUGAAAAUGUUGGAUUAUUACAGAGUCAAAGUUGCCUAUAUGGAGGAACAAUUUGCAACUUUUUCCAAAGACUUCUGCUUCUGCCAAAGUAUUUGUUAAACUCCCCUCGUAAUCAUCAUGCUUCGGAUUCUCAAUUGUUACUCAAAUUUACUCACCAACUUCCUUUGUACAUUUUUUUCAUAUUUUAUCAUCUUCUUUUUUACAUACGGUUCUGACCUUUUUACCAAUGUCAAAAUCGGGCAUAAUAUGUAUGCACACACCAUAGCUAAAAUAUAUGUACAAAAAUUCUUACACACACCUACAUACAAUUGAUGCAAAUUUUGAUCCCAAACACGUUUAAAUAAUUCAUAAUUCCUUAUUGCCUUAUGUCAUUUACGUUUUACCUCACUUGCCGUGGUGUAGUGCAAACAAMAAAAAUAACCACUUCUCUCCGUGUGCCAUUUGAAUAUUUAAAUAUUUAAAUAUGUAUAAGUCAACCAUGGUAUUCCUGCCACAACUCAACUACUCCGAUAUGCCCUGCGGCUUGUACAUCGAUAUACGUUUGAAUGCAUGCUUGCCUUUAGCUCCAAACACAGUGCUCGCUAACUUGUAGGCAGCCUUUGCAGAUGCGUGAAGUUGCAUGUAAAAUGUCCGAUGGCAGUCACAGCGCCAAAUGUGACCUACUUUCGAAGCCCGCAUCGGUAAACAUUGCUCGACGGGGUUAAUCUAAUGAUGGUGAAGGUACGAUUUUACUCGGCAGCUGCUCGCAAUGUCGGCUGAUAGGGAAGUCGAUGAGGACGAUGAAAAGAAUGACGACGACUAAGCCAGCGUAGGUGAUGUUGAGGAAGGCUCUUAUGAUAGCGGUGAUUCUCGCAAUGGCGAUGUCGGCUUGGCGAUGUCGGCUUGGCGACAUAUUAUAGGGAGCCUGCAUUACAGUAUGCUCAUCGCUCAUGGUCAGACAUCUGCAUCAUGAAGAACUCUAGCAGCCGAAUGCCGAGCGACUUCCUGGUGGCGGUGCUAGCUACGGUUAUCGUAGUAGUUGUGAUUCGAAGUCGGAGGACCUGCGGGUGAUCCAAGAAAUUUGCGAAUUUUAGAGGACAUCACAUGCGACCUCGGCAUCAAUUUGGAAAAUUUCGAACAGGACGAGCAGAUGUGAUCACAAAUCGACACUAAUAAUCUGCGGACCCCUUUAUUUGCUCCAUCACUUUUAGCAGUCACGGAGGACGGCAGCAGCAAUGAGUGGCACGAACAGGAAGCAACAAACCAUAUAAACGCCAUCACUAGUACAACAAAAACGCUACCAACAGUUAUGAAAGCCGCUGCUGUUACAACACACGAAGCCGCCUCACCACCUUCACCGCACGCCACGUGGCAGAAGCGGGGCUCCAACUCACCACCCAGCAACAGUGGCCACCAGUAGCCACGUCACGUACGAAAGGCGCAUCGGCGAUUGGUCCGAGAGUUCAGAGAAUUGUGGUAAUGCGGGCGGCGAAGAURUGUGGGCAAACAACAAUUUCCGCAAUAAAAACCGCAUUUUAUAGUGUGUUUUGUAUGGCACACAUCGACCAACAGGCAACGCUUGUCGUCAACAAAAACUUUCCGCAGUUAUGAAAGUGUGCAAGAGUCCGUCAUGCUGUGCAAAAGCGAGCAAAGGGUUGCAGCAACAGGCGAAAAGAGAGCAGCGCGUGUCUUGCCAAGAUCAUAUUGAGUUAAAUGAAGAAAUAUAAAAUAAUGGCAACACAACGUGAAACUUUAGAAACACUACAGGAAUGAAGUAAAAAAUCUUGUGCUCAACUUAAGAAUAAAUAAUAAAUAAUCAACAAGAAGAAGAAUAAUAAAAUUAACAUACAAUUAGAUACUA